AUUGAACGCUGGCGGCAUGCCUUACACAUGCAAAUCGAACGGUAACGGGCCUUCGGGUGCCGACGAGUGGCGAACGGGUGAGUAAUACAUCGGAACGUGCCCGAUCGUGGGGGAUAACGAGGCGAAAGCUUUGCUAAUACCUCAUACGAUCUACGGAUGAAAGCAGGGGACCGCAAGGCCUUGCGCGGGUGGAGCGGCCGAUGGCAGAUUAGGUAGUUGGUGGGAUAAAAGCUUACCAAGCCGACGAUCUGUAGCUGGUCUGAGAGGAUGAUCAGCCACACUGGGACUGAGACACGGCCCAGACUCCUACGGGAGGCAGCAGUGGGGAAUUUUGGACAAUGGGCGCAAGCCUGAUCCAGCCAUGCCGCGUGCAGGAUGAAGGCCUUCGGGUUGUAAACUGAUUUUGUACGGAACGAAAAGCCUUCUUUUAAUACAGGAGGGUCAUGACGGUACCGUAAGAAUAAGCACCGGCUAACUACGUG
rnacentral:rRNA from 1 species